GACGAACGCUGGCGGCGUGCUUAACACAUGCAAGUCGAACGGAAAGGCCCUGCUUUUGUGGGGUGCUCGAGUGGCGAACGGGUGAGUAACACGUGAGUAACCUGCCCUUGACUUUGGGAUAACUUCAGGAAACUGGGGCUAAUACCGGAUAGGAGCUCCUGCUGCAUGGUGGGGGUUGGAAAGUUUCGGCGGUUGGGGAUGGACUCGCGGCUUAUCAGCUUGUUGGUGGGGUAGUGGCUUACCAAGGCUUUGACGGGUAGCCGGCCUGAGAGGGUGACCGGCCACAUUGGGACUGAGAUACGGCCCAGACGCCUACGGGAGGCAGCAGUGGGGAAUAUUGCACAAUGGGCGGAAGCCUGAGGCAGCAACGCCGCGUGCGGGAUGACGGCCUUCGGGUUGUAAACCGCUUUCGCCUGUGACGAAGCGUGAGUGACGGUAAUGGGCAAAGAAGCACCGGCUAACUACGUG
rnacentral:rRNA from 1 species